UUUAUAUUCUCCGCGGGGGGGAUGAGAACCCCCGACCGGGGUUCGACAACUGGCGCAGCCAGGUGGACAGACCGCGCACGCAGUAAGCGGGCUGGCCCGCAGGGGCGAGCGAAGCGCGUGAAUCCCCCCCGCACCGCCA
rnacentral:sRNA from 1 species